GGUUGAUUGGAGUUCAAUAAACACAGCGGAAGACAGUAAAACACCACUGAAUUCUUUAGUAGUGCCUUCUCACUUUUUCGUGUAUUGUUUGCAACUAAGGUUUCUUCUAUCGGGCUCCCAACUUCCAUACGGAUGGUAUACUCAGUGCUACUCUCGCUGAAUGGUGGGUUCUACGGUUUCUCCAAACGCUCUGACAAACGAUCGGGAGAGUUCUCUUUCAAUUCUCUUCACUGCCUUGACCAGUUAGCGGAAGAAAGGGGCAUUGGAGUGAGACCUCAGCGGGGAUAAUUACUGCUGCAGAUGUUCAAUCUUCUGAUAGUUCAGAUUCUGAAGAUGAAUACGGGGCUGUAACAACGGAUUCUAAUGAGUUUGACACUAUGGACUUUGAAGAAGGAAUGCAAUUUUGGGCUUUAUACACCAACCAAACACAUCAAUCCAUAAACAUGAUGUUAAAGUUAUUAAAAUUAAAUAUCGACUCAGUAAACCUUCCAGACUACCGGUCUCGUAGUACAGUCGUCAACUCGUACGACUUAACAACAUGCCCGCCAUGGGUUCAAUCCCCUAAUAGACCGUACCGCCAUACGUAGGACU